rnacentral:rRNA from 1 species
UACAGAGGUCUCAAGCGUUGUUCGGAUUCAUUGGGCGUAAAGGGUGCGUAGGCGGCGCGGUAAGUCAGGUGUGAAAUCUCGGGGCUUAACUCCGAAACUGCAUUCGAUACUGCCGUGCUUGAGGACUGGAGAGGAGACUGGAAUUUACGGUGUAGCGGUGAAAUGCGUAGAUAUCGUAAGGAAGACCAGUGGCGAAGGCGGCUACCUGGACCGGUACUGACGCUGAGGCGCGAAAGCUAGGGUAGCAAACAGG